GAUAAAUUUUUUAUUUUUUUUAUAAUUUAUUAUAAAUUUAUUUUAAAUUUAAAUUUUUUAAUAAAAUUUUAAUUAUUUUAAAAAUAAUUAAUUUAAUUAAAAAGUAAUUAAAAUUAAAAAUUUAARAAAUUAAGAUUUAGUAAUAUUUAAAUUAAUAACUAAUUUUGUGCCAGCAGUUGCGGUUAAACAAAAGUUAAAUUAAAUUAUUUCAGUAUAUAAUAAAUAAUUAAAUAUUAAAAUAAAUAUUAAAUUAUUAAGUGAAAUUUUAAUUUAAUUAAAAAUUAUUUUUAAUUUAUGAUUUAAUAAAUUUUAUUAUAAACUAGGAUUAGAUACCCUAUUAUUAAAAAUUUAAUAAAAAAUACUAAAAUAGUAAAUAAAAUAUUGUUGAAACUUAAAUAAUAUGGCGGUAUUUUAGUUCAUUUAGAGGAAUCUGUCUAGUAAUUGAUAAUCCACGAAUAAUUUUACUUAAUUUAUAAUUUUGUAUAUCAUUGUUAAAAAAAUAUUUUUAAAUAAAAAUAAUAUUUUAAAAUUUAAAAUAAAAUUUAAUUCAGAUCAAGAUGCAGAUUAUAAUUAAGUUUAAGAUGGAUUACAAUAAAUUUAUUUAAACGAAAAAAAUUUUGUAAAAUUUGAUUGAAGGUGGAUUUAAAUGUAAUUUUAAUUAAUUUAUUAAAAUGAUUAAAAAUUAAAAUAUGUACAUAUUGCCCGUCACUUUCAUUUAAAAAUUGAAAUAAGUCGUAACAAAGUAGAAGUACUGGAAAGUGUUUCUAGAAUGAA
rnacentral:ncRNA from 1 species